AUUGAACGCCGGCGGCAUGCUUUACACAUGCAAGUCGAACGGCAGCACGGGUGCUUGCACCUGGUGGCGAGUGGCGAACGGGUGAGUAACAUAUCGGAACGUAUCCAAUAAUGGGGGAUAACUAAUCGAAAGGUUGGCUAAUACCGCAUACGCCCUACGGGGGAAAGCUAGGGACCUUCGGGCCUGGCGUUAAUGGAGCGGCCGAUAUCUGAUUAGCUAGUUGGUGGGGUAAUGGCCUACCAAGGCGACGAUCAGUAGCUGGUCUGAGAGGACGACCAGCCACACUGGAACUGAGACACGGUCCAGACUCCUACGGGAGGCAGCAGUGGGGAAUUUUGGACAAUGGGCGCAAGCCUGAUCCAGCCAUUCCGCGUGGGUGAAGAAGGCCUUCGGGUUGUAAAGCUCUUUCGCAAGGGAAGAAAACUUAUCCUCUAACAUAGGAUGAGGUUGACGGUACCUCGAUAAGAAGCACCGGCUAACUACGUGCCAGCAGCCGCAGUAAUAC
rnacentral:rRNA from 1 species